UACGUAGGGUGCAAGCGUUAAUCGGAAUUACUGGGCGUAAAGCGUGCGCAGGCGGCUUUGCAAGACAGAUGUGAAAUCCCCGGGCUUAACCUGGGAACUGCAUUUGUGACUGCAUGGCUAGAGUGCGGGAGAGGGGGAUGGAAUUCCGCGUGUAGCAGUGAAAUGCGUAGAUAUGCGGAGGAACACCGAUGGCGAAGGCAAUACCCUGGGCCUGCACUGACGCUCAUGCACGAAAGCGUGGGGAGCAAACAGG
rnacentral:rRNA from 1 species